rnacentral:lncRNA from 1 species
UAUGAUGAUGAUGACCAAUCGCUUCCACCACCACCACCACCAUCACCACCACCACCCCACCGUCCCACCACCACCCACCUACCACCAUCACCACCUCACCAUCAACCCACCACCACCACCACCCACCACCAUCACCACCACCACCACCACCCACCACCACCACCAAUCCCCCCACCACCACCAACACCACCAACCAUCACCACCACCACCACCACACCACCACCACCGCCACCAUCACCACUCCACCGCCACCAUCACCACCACCACCACCACCACCCACCACCACCACCAUCACCACCACCACCACCACUUCCACCACCACCACUACCACCCCAUCACCACCACCACCACCGUCUCCCACCACCACCAACACUACCACCAUCACCACCACCACCAACACUUUUAAUCACACCACCAACAUCACCACCAUCACCACCACCACCACCGCCCACCACCACCACCACCAACACUCACGCACCAUCGCACCACCACCACCUCGUUCACCCACCACCAACACUACCACCCAUCACCACCUCCACCACCAACACCACCACCAUCACCAAUUCACCACCACCACCACCAACACUACCACCAUCACCACCACCACCACCGCCUCCACCACCAACACCACCACCAUCACCACCACCACCACCGCCCCACCACCACCAACACUCACCAUCACCACCACCACCACCGCCUCCACCACCACCACCAUACCACCAUCACCACCACCACCAACACUACCACCACCACCAACACUACCACCAUCACCACUACACCACCACCGUCCACCACCACACCACCACCAACACUACCCCACCAUCGCCACCACCACCACCGCCUCCACCACCACCAACACCUCACCACCAUCACCACCUCACCACCAACACUACCACCAUCACCCAUCACCACCACCACCACCACCAACAUCUACACUACACCAUCACCACCACCACCACCGCCUCCACCACCAACACUACCUCAAUUCUAUCACCACCACCACCAUCACCACCUCCACCACCUCACCAACACUACCACCAUCACCUCCACCACCACCACCGCCCACCACCUCCCACCACCACCAACACCACCACACCAUCACCACCACCACCACCACCGCUUCCACCACCAACACCACCACCAUCACCACCACUCACUACUCACCCACCAACACCGCCACCGCCACCACCACCAACACCGCCACCACCAUCACCACCUAAUCACCACCAUCACCACCACCACCUCACCACCACCACACCACCACCACCACCAACACUACCAACACUGCCACCAUCACCACCUCCACCGCCACCAUCACCACUACCACCACUACCACCAUCACCACUUCCACCACCACCACCUCACCACCACCACCGCCUCCACCACCACCAACACUACCACCAUUGCCACCACCACCAACACUACCACCAUCGCCACCAUCACCACCAUUACCACCAAACACUUCCACCACCACCAACCGACACUACCACCAUCAGCACCACCACCAACACCAACACUACCACCAUCGCCACCACCACCGCCACCACCACCACUGCCAACACUACCACCAAAAUCACCACCAUCACCACCACCACCACCAUCACCACUUCCACCACCACCACUAUCAUCACCACCAUCACCACCAACACUACCACCAUCGCCAACAUGACCACCACUAUGGCCAUCACCAUCUGCAGGUGUGGGGUCCGAGCAUGCUCAGGAAGGAGAGAAGCCUGGAGUGGCGGCCUGUAG